GUGGAUUAGAUACCCUGGUAGUCCACGCCCUAAACUAUGUCAACUAGACGUUGGCCCCUUUAAUGGGGUUAGUGUCGAAGCUAACGCGUUAAGUUGACCGCCUGGGGAGUACGGCCGCAAGGUUGAAACUCAAAGGAAUUGACGGGGGCCCGCACAAGCGGUGGAGCAUGUGGUUUAAUUCGAUGCAACGCGAAGAACCUUACCAGCCCUUGACAUCCUGGGAACUUUGUAGAGAUACAUUGGUGCCUUCGGGAAUCCAGUGACAGGUGCUGCACGGUCGUCGUCAACU
rnacentral:rRNA from 1 species